rnacentral:lncRNA from 1 species
AACUAUAUUCAUAUAUGGAGGUGUACAAAAUAGUUAACCUUCAAAAUCGAAACAGUGUGUGUGCCAUGUCAGGCAAUUAGCCACUGCUUCUAGACUGUACAAUAUUACACCUCACCAUAAUAUCUAAACCAACUAGCUCUAGCAAAAAGGCAUGAUGACCAUAUGAAGUACCCCCACCAAAGCAUCUACGUCUGCAUGUUCAUAUGAAGGAGUUCCUGACAUAAGUUAUGAGCAAAGUGAAUUCCCAAGUCAUAAGUCCAUAGUGAGGUGAAUUCACGGACAUUAAGACAUUUACCUCAUAAAUAUGCCUCCCCCCUUAAACCCUCAAUUGCAAGCUUCAGUCGGUAAUAUUUGAUCUUCAAAGGGUCAACUUUAUCCACCGAAAUCCC